CUGCUGGCUGGGCGCCACCGGGGCCGCCAGCUGUGCCGAGGCGCUCGUCCGGGUGCGCGGCGCCCCCCGGGCCGCCCAGCUCGUCCAGCGCGGGCGGUGGCGGCACGAAGGGCGCCCCGUUUUCACGCUUGGCAACCCCAGGGCCCUGGCCCCCGAUCAUCUAACACCCAAACCAGUGCCCGGAGCGCUUUGUAGGUUCGUGGAGGGCGCAGCCUUACCUUGCAAGGCCUUUUCCUGGUCGGCGCGGCUGGCCAGCGGGGCAGGCAAGGUCUGCGCAGCUCCCAGCAGCCUCAUUUUGCACGGGCUUCUCCGGCCCAGGAUGCUGUCGAUGCAGUAGGAGGAGAGCAAAGUUGGAGAUUUACUUUUGCACUCGGGCCUCUCGGAGCAGCCCUCCUCCUGUUGUUGGCUGCCGGCUCCUGCCCUGCCUGCGGCCAGAGCUCGCCCUCUCCGCGCACCGGACAAGCAGUAACAAGUGUACUGAGCAGCGGGAGCGGAGCUCUGGAGUCUCUCUCCUCCACGUGCUGAGAGGAGUGCUCUG